AGAGUUUGAUCCUGGCUCAGAACUAACGCUGGCGGCGUGCCUAACACAUGCAAGUCUAACGAGAAAGUUGGCUUCGGCCAAUGAGUAAAGUGGCGCACGGGUGAGUAACACGUGGAUAACCUUCCCUUCAGUCAGGAAUAACCUACCGAAAGGUAAGCUAAUACCUGAUCCUACGGAUCCACUGCGGUGGAUUCGUCAAAGAUGGCCUCUGCUUGCAAGCUAUCGCUGUUGGAUGGGUCCGCGUACCAUUAGCUAGUUGGCAGGGUAAUGGCCUACCAAGGCUCUGAUGGUUAGCUGGUCUGAGAGGAUGACCAGCCACACUGGAACUGAGACACGGUCCAGACUCCUACGGGAGGCAGCAGUGAGGAAUAUUGCGCAAUGGGGGAAACCCUGACGCAGCGACGCCGCGUGAGUGAGGAAGGCCUUCGGGUCGUAAAGCUCUGUCAGAUGGGAAGAAAUUGCUGGAUGCCAAUACCAUUUAGCCUUGACGGUACCAUCAGAGGAAGCACCGGCCAACUCCGUGCCAGCAGCCGCGGUAAUACGGAGGGUGCAAGCGUUGUUCGGAAUUAUUGGGCGUAAAGCGCGUGUAGGCGGUAGGGUAAGUCAGAUGUGAAAGCCCUGGGCUCAACCCAGGAAGUGCAUUUGAAACUGCUCUGCUAGAGUGUGGGAGAGGAAAGUGGAAUUCCUGGUGUAGAGGUGAAAUUCGUAGAUAUCACGAGUAACACCGGUGGCGAAGGCGGCUUUCUGGCCCUUCACUGACGCUGAGACGCGAGAUCGUGGGGAGCAAACAGGAUUAGAUACCCUGGUAGUCCACGCUGUAAACGAUGUUCACUAGGUGUUGGAGGUAUUGACCCCUUCAGUGCCGUAGCAAACGCAUUAAGUGAACCGCCUGGGGAGUACGGUCGCAAGAUUAAAACUCAAAGGAAUUGACGGGGGCCCGCACAAGCGGUGGAGCAUGUGGUUUAAUUCGAUGCAACGCGCAGAACCUUACCUGGGCUUGACAUCCCAAGAACCCUGAUGAAAGUCGGGGGUGCCCUUCGGGGAGCUUGGAGACAGGUGCUGCAUGGCUGUCGUCAGCUCGUGUCGUGAGAUGUUGGGUUAAGUCCCGCAACGAGCGCAACCCUUAUCUUUAAUUGCCAGCAUUCAGUUGGGCACUUUAAAGAAACUGCCGGUGUCAAACCGGAGGAAGGUGGGGAUGACGUCAAGUCCUCAUGGCCUUUAUGCCCAGGGCUACACACGUGCUACAAUGGACGGUACAAAGAGCAGCGACCUCGCGAGAGGAAGCAAAUCUCAAAAAGCCGUUCUCAGUUCGGAUCGAAGUCUGCAACUCGACUUCGUGAAGUCGGAAUCGCUAGUAAUCGCGGAUCAGCACGCCGCGGUGAAUACGUUCCCGGGCCUUGUACACACCGCCCGUCACACCCUGAAAGUUGAUUGCACCAGAAGUCGUUGAGCUAACCCUGGAGCUUGCGAAAGGGAGGCAGGCGCCGACGGUGUGGUUGGUGAUUGGGGUGAAGUCGUAACAAGGUAGGC
rnacentral:rRNA from 1 species